rnacentral:rRNA from 1 species
GACGUAGGGCGCGAGCGUUGUCCGGAUUUAUUGGGCGUAAAGAGCUCGUAGGCGGUUUGGUAAGUCGGAUGUGAAAUCUCCAGGCUCAACUUGGAGGGGUCAUUCGAUACUGCCAUGACUAGAGUCCGGAAGAGGCGAGUGGAAUUCCCGGUGUAGCGGUGAAAUGCGCAGAUAUCGGGAGGAACACCGAUGGCGAAGGCAGCUCGCUGGGACGGUACUGACGCUGAGACGCGAAAGCGUGGGGAGCAAACAGG